rnacentral:rRNA from 1 species
CCUACGGGCGGCAGCAGUGGGGAAUAUUGCACAAUGGGGGAAACCCUGAUGCAGCGACGCCGCGUGAGUGAAGAAGUAAUUCGUUAUGUAAAGCUCUAUCAGCAGGGCAGAAAAUGACGGUACCUGAGUAAGCAGCCCCGGCUAACUACGUGCCAGCAGCCGCGGUAAUACGUAGGGGGCAAGCGUUAUCCGGAUUUACUGGGGGUAAAGGGAGCGUAGACGGCAGUGCCAGUCGGGAGUGAAAGGCUGGGGCUCAAACCCAGAACUGCUCUGGAAACUGUACGGCUGGAGUGCAGGAGAGGUAAGUGGAAUUCCUAGUGUAGCGGUGAAAGGCGUAGAUAUUAGGAGGAACACCAGUGGCGAAGGCGGCUUACGGGACUGUAACUGACGUUGAGGCGCGAAAGCGUGGGGAGCAAACAGGAUUAGAGACCCCAGUAGUC